GACUCUGCUGCGCAAAUCAAGACCAAAAAAACGAAAAACCUUCCUUCAGUGCCAGUGACUAUUCUACAGCCAGUGUUAAUGCCUCCAAAGGACACCGUGAUCACCAUUAAACUAUGAUAGUUUGAGUAAUGUGAACGGCGUACAAAGACUGAGAAUUAAACAAAACUGAUGAGGUUUUAGCGGGGAAAAAAAUGUAGAAACGUUGUAAACAUAUAAUUGCCUGCCAGUAUAUAUUUUAAGCACAAAAUAUGAAAAGCGUUAUGAAGAGGUUUCUGUUAGCGAAGGCUUUGAUUUUGACAGCGCAUUUUCUAUCCAUUUGGUUGGUUUCCAUCCAACCAUAGUUUAUAUUAUUUCUUUUGCAAUGGUCAUAUGGAAAAAUGGUUUUAGUUAUUGCUAGCAUGGUUCGAUUUUGUUCGUUUACGGUUACAUCGUCAGUCGAGUCAGAGGGUGCCAUUACUGUCGAAACGUACGUCCAUGAUCAAUUGGUCUGUAUAGCACAUAUGUUGAAUUAUAUUUCAUUAUAUUUUUUAAUUUAGGACUUGCAAUACCAGAAGUGAAUGCUGCACCACUUUUAGAGACAAUUUUGUUAUUAUGUGGGUUUCGAAACGGGUAAACAAGCUGGCAAAAAGCUUAUACAACAGUUCACCAUGCUUCGGGCCAAUUAAGUAUAUAUAAAAGUAAAAAAAAAACACAUUUAUAUUACAUAGGGAAAAAGUCAUACGAAUUUUAACGAACGGAUUGUCAUCUGAGUGCACUCCAAUAUUCGAAGGUCUGUCAUCUGGCUUUUACGAGUCUAUAGAUAUAUUAUAUAGAUCAGAACCUGUUGUUCUUUUUACCAACUUCUCUGCGUAUUCAGUGUACUAUUCGUUUUAUUGAUAUUUUUAAUUUUUUUAAAUAUCGGCAUAUAUUAAAACGUCAAGAAGCUUAACGGUAAAAUAUUUAUGUCAUUACUUGUCAAUUUUUCUAUAUCAUUCUGAUAUGUAAGUUCCCUAAACUUAAAUUCGGUUCUUUUCAUGCACUCGCAUAGGCUGCUUGAACGAGAUCGUACCACUGAAUAUCUGAACAAAGCGACACCAAGUUCGAGCGAAAAGACAAAAUAUUUUAUGUAUAGACAUUGUACUUAUUUAUUUUGACAGUAUUUCAUAAUUGGCGUGCUCUUAUUAUAGCUUGUGGACGAAAUAAAGAAACACCACAACGUUUCGUCAGAGUCCUGUCAAGCCAAUGCAAACGAAGAACUACUGAAUAAAAAAAAGGCCGUGCAGUGAACGCUUGUCCGUAAAUAUUAAUAGAUUCUAACACCGAUGUCAAGAUGGGACCUAUGACGUGUUUAUAGCAGUGACCGACUAACAAAUCCAGUCACAAUUCUUUGGCCCGCGUAGCAGUCGCGGCGCAAAACAAAUGCGACCUUCUAAUCAAAAGUUAUUUGCUUCAGGCACAUUUUUAAUUGUGUAUGAUAGCACCAUUAUCAAGUACCUAUACACAGAUAUUGUUGGCGCCAGGAUGUGAUUGCGUCACUUGUGGCAGCGAUUUCAACGUAAUUACCUUAAUGAGUCACGUUUGAAUGACGCGCUUACUCGCUAAGGCGUAGUUCGUCCACGUAUGGACAAACAAACGAAUCGCUCUUUGUCAGUUAUUAAGAGCGACGUUUGCUUCAACGGCACACGCAGUGACAAAAUUAAGUAUAAGAGUUUUCGGCGUCAAUACCCUUUUUAUUACACUGAUAAUUUUGGCAGGUGGAAGCGAAGCGUAACUCUCUGAGACUCUAUCAAAUCCACCGACGGUCAGAACGACAUUAUAUUUCAUUGAGGAAGAUUUUUCACUUAUUUGAGCAAGGUACUCGUAGGAAACACAGUUACAAAAGCUCUGAACUGUCAACAAACUUGCAGAAACGGUGAUGUUUGGGUUGAGUGACAGAAAGUGUCGGCAAGCUUUCGACAUACUUACUGAUCUUCUAUCAUAUAUCAUCAUUACGAAUACAAACUAGAGGAAGCAAAAAACUUUUAUUAAAAAAGUUCACCAGUACCGUUUAUGCUGACAAGCUAUUAUAUAAGGCCAUGAUAAUGAAGUCCAGCUUUUUGUCUUCGUAAUUACGGAUAAAUUGGAUUUAAUUGUCAUCCAUUUUUACUCAUAUAAAAGACAAGGCCUCCGUCGUUUUUUUUUCAAAAAAUUUUGUUUUCCUUGAGAGCGAUAAUACUCGUCAGGAUCUUUCAAACGGUAGCUCAUUUCUUCGUCACUACAUUUGGCACGGCCAAAAAGGUCACGCAGAAAAUGUUCUGCGUUACUUAGGAACUUAAAAAAUAACGACGCUGCCGACCUUGUCAGUCAAUUGUUGAUGAUACUAAAACACAGAUACGGAAAAAAGCGCUAUUUAAAUGCCGGAAAGUUUUUUCUCCAGUUCAACCCGACAUGAACGUCGCACAUGCAGAUCACAUCCCGUCAACGGCCUUCAAAGAGACCUUUAUCACCUUCGUGCCUUUACUGUGAUUUAGCCCAGCUGGC